rnacentral:rRNA from 1 species
AGUGGCGGACGGGUGAGUAACGCGUGAGAAUCUGCCUUGGGGUCGGGGACAACCACUGGAAACGGUGGCUAAUACCGGAUAAGCCGAUUGGUGAAAGAUUUAUUGCCCGAAGAGGAGCUCGCGUCUGAUUAGCUAGUUGGUGAGGUAAGAGCUCACCAAGGCAGCGAUCAGUAGCUGGUCCGAGAGGACGAUCAGCCACACUGGGACUGAGACACGGCCCAGACUCCUACGGGAGGCAGCAGUGGGGAAUUUUCCGCAAUGGGCGAAAGCCUGACGGAGCAAGACCGCGUGAGGGAGGAAGGCUCUUGGGUUGUAAACCUCUUUUCUCAGGGAAGAAGCUCUGACGGUACCUGAGGAAUCAGCCUCGGCUAACUCCGUGCCAGCAGCCGCGGUAAUACGGAGGAGGCAAGCGUUAUCCGGAAUUAUUGGGCGUAAAGCGUCCGCAGGUGGCAAUUCAAGUCUGCUGUCAAAGCACGGGGCUUAACUCCGUUAAGGCAGUGGAAACUGAAUAGCUAGAGUGCCGUAUGGGUAGAGGGAAUUCCCGGUGUAGCGGUGAAAUGCGUAGAGAUCGGGAAGAACAUCGGUGGCGAAAGCGCUCUACUGGACGGCAACUGACACUCAGGGACGAAAGCUAGGGGAGCGAAUGGGAUUAGAUACCCC